rnacentral:rRNA from 1 species
UACGUAGGGUGCAAGCGUUGUCCGGAAUUAUUGGGCGUAAAGAGCUCGUAGGCGGUUUGUUGCGUCGGCUGUGAAAUCCCGAGGCUCAACCUCGGGUCUGCAGUCGAUACGAGCAAACUAGAGUGUUGCAGGGAGACUGGAAUUCCUGGUGUAGCGGUGAAAUGCGCAGAUAUCAGGAGGAACACCGGUGGCGAAGGCGGGUCUCUGGG